CUCCUACGGGGGGCAGCAGUGGGGGAUAUUGCACAAUGGGGGGAACCCUGAUGCAGCGACGCCGCGUGGGUGAAGAAGCGCCUCGGCGCGUAAAGCCCUGUCAGCAGGGAAGAAAAUGACGGUACCUGAAGAAGAAGCCCCGGCUAACUACGUGCCAGCAGCCGCGGUAAUACGUAGGGGGCGAGCGUUAUCCGGAUUCACUGGGUGUAAAGGGAGCGUAGACGGCCAUGCAAGCAAGGGGUGAAAGCCGGGGGCCCAACCCCGGGACUGCCCUUGGAACUGCAUGGCAGGAGUGCGGGAGGGGC
rnacentral:rRNA from 1 species